UACGUAGGGUGCAGGCGUUAAUCGGAAUUACUGGGCGUAAAGCGUGCGCAGGCGGUCUCUUAAGACAGGUGUGAAAUCCCCGGGCUUAACCUGGGAACUGCGCUUGUAACUGAGAGGCUUGAGUGCGGCAGAGGGGGGUGGAAUUCCACGUGUAGCAGUGAAAUGCAUAGAUAUGACCCGGAACACCGAUUGCGAAGGCAGCCCACUAAGCAACGAUUGACGCUGAGGCACGAAAGCGUGGGGAUCAAACAGG
rnacentral:rRNA from 1 species